rnacentral:lncRNA from 1 species
UCCCCCACUAUUUUUUAGGUAUCGCGGGCGGUGAGGGUUGAGACGAGACGUGUGAUACGUACGUAGCGGUCGAUAGAGCUUCCAACCUAGGUUAUUCGGUUUAGUUUCUACUCUUACUGUCCUGUUGAUAUAGCUUAGAUAGUUUAUAUAGUUCAGUUUUUGGGUAUUUCAGUUAACUAUCAUAUUUUGAUUUGGCUUUAUGAAUGUAAUAAAAAGGAUUCGUGGUUUUCGUAAAUAAAAGGUUUUCUACCCCUCGUGGUAGCGUUUUUAAAGAAUAAAGAUUUUCGUGUAGUUUCAGUUUUCAAAAAAUUUUUUUGUGGAUUUAUGUUUAAAUAUUGAAUGUAUAACUGUGAUGUGAAUGGUGAAUGAAUGAUUGCAUAGUCGUUUCUAUAUUCAUUUGGUUGUGGUUGUACCUGGGUUACUUCUUGUACUUCUGCGAC